rnacentral:rRNA from 1 species
GGGUUGUGAGGUUAAGCGACUAAGCGUACACGGUGGAUGCCCUGGCAGUCAGAGGCGAUGAAGGGCGUGCUAAUCUGCGAUAAGCGCCGGUAAGGUGAUAUGAACCGUUAUAACCGGCGAUACCCGAAUGGGGAAACCCAGUGUGACUCGUCACACUAUCAUUAACUGAAUCCAUAGGUUAAUGAGGCGAACCGGGGGAACUGAAACAUCUAAGUACCCCGAGGAAAAGAAAUCAACCGAGAUUCCCCCAGUAGCGGCGAGCGAACGGGGAGGAGCCCAGAGCCUGAAUCAGCAUGUGUGUUAGUGGAAGCGUCUGGAAAGGCGUGCGAUACAGGGUGACAGCCCCGUACACAAAAGCGCAUGUGCUGUGAGCUCGAUGAGUAGGGCGGGACACGUGGUAUCCUGUCUGAAUAUGGGGGGACCAUCCUCCAAGGCUAAAUACUCCUGACUGACCGAUAGUGAACCAGUACCGUGAGGGAAAGGCGAAAAGAACCCCGGCGAGGGGAGUGAAAAAGAACCUGAAACCGUGUACGUACAAGCAGUGGGAGCCCCACCACUAAGCCAGUGGUGAACUCCACAUACGCAUCCUUUGCUGAGGAUACGGUUAACGGAGCGAAAGCGACGUUCAACCUCAAAAGAAGCAGAGGGGGCUUAGUGGUGGGGUGACUGCGUACCUUUUGUAUAAUGGGUCAGCGACUUAUAUUCUGUAGCAAGGUUAACCGUAUAGGGGAGCCGGAGGGAAACCGAGUCUUAACCGGGCGUUAAGUUGCAGGGUAUAGACCCGAAACCCGGUGAUCUAGCCAUGGGCAGGUUGAAGGUUGGGUAACACUAACUGGAGGACCGAACCGACUAAUGUUGAAAAAUUAGCGGAUGACCUGUGGCUGGGGGUGAAAGGCCAAUCAAACCGGGAGAUAGCUGGUUCUCCCCGAAAGCUAUUUAGGUAGCGCCUCGUGAAUUCAUCUCCGGGGGUAGAGCACUGUUUCGGCUAGGGGGCCAUCCCGGCUUACCAACCCGAUGCAAACUGCGAAUACCGGAGAAUGUUAUCACGGGAGACACACGGCGGGUGCUAACGUCCGUCGUGAAGAGGGAAACAACCCAGACCGCCAGCUAAGGUCCCAAAGUCAUGGUUAAGUGGGAAACGAUGUGGGAAGGCCCAGACAGCCAGGAUGUUGGCUUAGAAGCAGCCAUCAUUUAAAGAAAGCGUAAUAGCUCACUGGUCGAGUCGGCCUGCGCGGAAGAUGUAACGGGGCUAAACCAUGCACCGAAGCUGCGGCAGCGACGCUUAUGCGUUGUUGGGUAGGGGAGCGUUCUGUAAGCCUGUGAAGGUGGCCUGUGAGGGUUGCUGGAGGUAUCAGAAGUGCGAAUGCUGACAUAAGUAACGAUAAAGCGGGUGAAAAGCCCGCUCGCCGGAAGACCAAGGGUUCCUGUCCAACGUUAAUCGGGGCAGGGUGAGUCGACCCCUAAGGCGAGGCCGAAAGGCGUAGUCGAUGGGAAACGGGUUAAUAUUCCCGUACUUGGUGUUACUGCGAAGGGGGGACGGAGAAGGCUAUGUUGGCCGGGCGACGGUUGUCCCGGUUUAAGCGUGUAGGCUGGUUUUCCAGGCAAAUCCGGAAAAUCAAGGCUGAGGCGUGAUGACGAGGCACUACGGUGCUGAAGCAACAAAUGCCCUGCUUCCAGGAAAAGCCUCUAAGCAUCAGGUAACACGAAAUCGUACCCCAAACCGACACAGGUGGUCAGGUAGAGAAUACCAAGGCGCUUGAGAGAACUCGGGUGAAGGAACUAGGCAAAAUGGUGCCGUAACUUCGGGAGAAGGCACGCUGACACGUAGGUGAAGUGAUUUACUCAUGGAGCUGAAGUCAGUCGAAGAUACCAGCUGGCUGCAACUGUUUAUUAAAAACACAGCACUGUGCAAACACGAAAGUGGACGUAUACGGUGUGACGCCUGCCCGGUGCCGGAAGGUUAAUUGAUGGGGUCAGCGCAAGCGAAGCUCCUGAUCGAAGCCCCGGUAAACGGCGGCCGUAACUAUAACGGUCCUAAGGUAGCGAAAUUCCUUGUCGGGUAAGUUCCGACCUGCACGAAUGGCGUAAUGAUGGCCAGGCUGUCUCCACCCGAGACUCAGUGAAAUUGAACUCGCUGUGAAGAUGCAGUGUACCCGCGGCAAGACGGAAAGACCCCGUGAACCUUUACUAUAGCUUGACACUGAACAUUGAGCCUUGAUGUGUAGGAUAGGUGGGAGGCUUUGAAGCGUGGACGCCAGUCUGCGUGGAGCCGACCUUGAAAUACCACCCUUUAAUGUUUGAUGUUCUAACGUGGACCCGUAAUCCGGGUUGCGGACAGUGUCUGGUGGGUAGUUUGACUGGGGCGGUCUCCUCCUAAAGAGUAACGGAGGAGCACGAAGGUUGGCUAAUCCUGGUCGGACAUCAGGAGGUUAGUGCAAUGGCAUAAGCCAGCUUGACUGCGAGCGUGACGGCGCGAGCAGGUGCGAAAGCAGGUCAUAGUGAUCCGGUGGUUCUGAAUGGAAGGGCCAUCGCUCAACGGAUAAAAGGUACUCCGGGGAUAACAGGCUGAUACCGCCCAAGAGUUCAUAUCGACGGCGGUGUUUGGCACCUCGAUGUCGGCUCAUCACAUCCUGGGGCUGAAGUAGGUCCCAAGGGUAUGGCUGUUCGCCAUUUAAAGUGGUACGCGAGCUGGGUUUAGAACGUCGUGAGACAGUUCGGUCCCUAUCUGCCGUGGGCGCUGGAGAACUGAGGGGGGCUGCUCCUAGUACGAGAGGACCGGAGUGGACGCAUCACUGGUGUUCGGGUUGUCAUGCCAAUGGCACUGCCCGGUAGCUAAAUGCGGAAGAGAUAAGUGCUGAAAGCAUCUAAGCACGAAACUUGCCCCGAGAUGAGUUCUCCCUGAGACUUAGAGUCUCCUGAAGGAACGUUGAAGACGACGACGUUGAUAGGCCGGGUGUGUAAGCGCAGCGAUGCGUUGAGCUAACCGGUACUAAUGAACCGUGAGGCUUAACCUUACAACGCCGAAG